rnacentral:rRNA from 1 species
GACGAACGCUGGCGGCGUGCUUAACACAUGCAAGUCGAACGAUGAAGCCUAGCUUGCUAGGUGGAUUAGUGGCGAACGGGUGAGUAAUACGUGAGUAACCUACCUUUAACUCUGGGAUAAGCCUGGGAAACUGGGUCUAAUACCGGAUACGACCAAUCUCCGCAUGGGGUGUUGGUGGAAAGCGUUAUGUAGUGGUUAUAGAUGGGCUCACGGCCUAUCAGCUUGUUGGUGAGGUAACGGCUCACCAAGGCGACGACGGGUAGCCGGCCUGAGAGGGUGACCGGCCACACUGGGACUGAGACACGGCCCAGACUCCUACGGGAGGCAGCAGUGGGGAAUAUUGCACAAUGGGCGCAAGCCUGAUGCAGCGACGCCGCGUGAGGGAUGACGGCCUUCGGGUUGUAAACCUCUGUUAGCAGGGAAGAAGAGAGAUUGACGGUACCUGCAGAGAAAGCGCCGGCUAACUACGUGCCAGCAGCCGCGGUAAUACGUAGGGCGCGAGCGUUGUCCGGAAUUAUUGGGCGUAAAGAGCUUGUAGGCGGUUUGUCGCGUCUGCUGUGAAGGCCGGAGCUUAACUCCGUGUAUUGCAGUGGGUACGGGCAGACUAGAGUGCAGUAGGGGAGACUGGAAUUCCUGGUGUAGCGGUGGAAUGCGCAGAUAUCAGGAGGAACACCGAUGGCGAAGGCAGGUCUCUGGGCUGUAACUGACGCUGAGAAGCGAAAGCAUGGGGAGCGAACAGGAUUAGAUACCCUGGUAGUCCACGCCGUAAACGUUGGGCACUAGGUGUGGGGGACAUUCCACGUUUUCCGCGCCGUAGCUAACGCAUUAAGUGCCCCGCCUGGGGAGUACGGCCGCAAGGCUAAAACUCAAAGAAAUUGACGGGGGCCCGCACAAGCGGCGGAGCAUGCGGAUUAAUUCGAUGCAACGCGAAGAACCUUACCAAGGCUUGACAUAUACUGGACCGCAUCAGAGAUGGUGUUUCCCUUCGGGGCUGGUAUACAGGUGGUGCAUGGUUGUCGUCAGCUCGUGUCGUGAGAUGUUGGGUUAAGUCCCGCAACGAGCGCAACCCUCGUUCUAUGUUGCCAGCACGUUAUGGUGGGGACUCAUAGGAGACUGCCGGGGUCAACUCGGAGGAAGGUGGGGAUGACGUCAAAUCAUCAUGCCCCUUAUGUCUUGGGCUUCACGCAUGCUACAAUGGCCGGUACAGAGGGUUGCGAUACUGUGAGGUGGAGCUAAUCCCUAAAAGCCGGUCUCAGUUCGGAUUGGGGUCUGCAACUCGACCCCAUGAAGUCGGAGUCGCUAGUAAUCGCAGAUCAGCAACGCUGCGGUGAAUACGUUCCCGGGCCU